rfam:Schistosoma haematobium scaffold195_9, whole genome shotgun sequence.
AUCCAGCUGACGCGUCUCAAAUAGGACGAAACGAGAGUCCUGGAC